rnacentral:rRNA from 1 species
AGAGUUUGAUCCUGGCUCAGGAUGCAUGCUAGCGACAGGCUUAACACAUGCAAGUCGAGGGGCAGCGGGGGAGUAGCAAUACUCCCGCCGGCGACCGGCGCACGGGUGAGUAACACGUAUGAAACCUGCCCGUAGCAGGGGGAUAAGCGGAAGAAAUUCCGUCUAAUACCGCGUAACAACCCUUGGAGGCAUCUCCUCGGGUUUAAAGGGAGCGAUUCCGGCUACGGAUGGUCAUGCGUCGCAUUAGCUUGUUGGCGGGGUAACGGCCCACCAAGGCGACGAUGCGUAGGGGUUCUGAGAGGAAGGUCCCCCACACUGGUACUGAGACACAGACCAGACUCCUACGGGAGGCAGCAGUGAGGAAUAUUGGUCAAUGGCCGCAGGGCUGAACCAGCCAAGUCGCGUGAGGGAUGACGGUCCUAUGGAUUGUAAACCUCUUUUGUCAGGGAGCAAAGGGCGUCACGUGUGGCGUUUUGCGAGUACCUGAAGAAAAAGCAUCGGCUAACUCCGUGCCAGCAGCCGCGGUAAUACGGAGGAUGCGAGCGUUAUCCGGAUUUAUUGGGUUUAAAGGGUGCGCAGGCGGAAUGUCAAGUCAGCGGUAAAAUUUCGGGGCUCAACCCCGUCGUGCCGUUGAAACUGGCGUUCUUGAGUGAGCGAGAAGUAUGCGGAAUGCGUGGUGUAGCGGUGAAAUGCAUAGAUAUCACGCAGAACUCCGAUUGCGAAGGCAGCAUACCGGCGCUCAACUGACGCUCAUGCACGAAAGCGUGGGUAUCGAACAGGAUUAGAUACCCUGGUAGUCCACGCAGUAAACGAUGAAUACUAACUGUCCGGGCAGAAUGAUGUCUGGGUGGUACAGCGAAAGCGUUAAGUAUUCCACCUGGGGAGUACGCCGGCAACGGUGAAACUCAAAGGAAUUGACGGGGGCCCGCACAAGCGGAGGAACAUGUGGUUUAAUUCGAUGAUACGCGAGGAACCUUACCCGGGCUCAAACGACGGAUGGAUGUUUCUGAAAGGAGGCAGUCCUACGGGACAUCCGUCGAGGUGCUGCAUGGUUGUUGUCAGCUCGUGCCGUGAGGUGUCGGCUUAAGUGCCAUAACGAGCGCAACCCCCAUCGCCAGUUACCAGCAAGUAAAGUUGGGGACUCUGGCGAGACUGCCGGCGCAAGCUGUGAGGAAGGCGGGGAUGACGUCAAAUCAGCACGGCCCUUACGUCCGGGGCGACACACGUGUUACAAUGGCAGGUACAGAGAGAUGCGAUGUGGCGACGCAGAGCGGAACUUCAAAGCCUGUCUCAGUUCGGAUUGGAGUCUGCAACCCGACUCCAUGAAGCUGGAUUCGCUAGUAAUCGCGCAUCAGCCACGGCGCGGUGAAUACGUUCCCGGGCCUUGCACUCACAGCCCGUCA